UAGCUCAGUUGGUAAAGAAUCUGCCUGCAAUGCAGGAGACCCUGGUUCGAUUCCUGG
rfam:Ovis aries breed Texel chromosome 9, whole genome shotgun sequence.